rnacentral:rRNA from 1 species
GAGUUUGAUCAUGGCUCAGGACAAACGCUGGCGGCGUGUAUUAGGCAUGCAAGUCGCACGGACCUUCGGGUCAGUGGCGGACGGGUGAGUAACACGUGGGUAACCUGCCUUGGAGUGGGGAAUAACUCUCCGAAAGGAGAGCUAAUACCGCAUACCACUCCCGGUGAGAAUCCGGGUAGUAAAAGCAGUAAUGCGCUCUAAGAGGGGCCCGCGGCCGAUUAGCUUGUUGGUGGGGUAAUGGCCUACCAAGGCGACGAUCGGUAGCUGGUCUGAGAGGAUGGUCAGCCACACGGGGACUGAGAUACGGCCCGACUCCUACGGGAGGCAGCAGCUAAGAAUCUUGCGCAAUGGGCGAAAGCCUGACGCAGCAACGCCGCGUGGAGGACGAAGGCCUUCGGGUUGUAAACUCCUUUUGUCGAGGGAAGAAGUUCUGACGGUACCUCGCGAAUAAGCCACGGCUAACUACGUGCCAGCCGCCG